AGUGAACGCUGGCGGUAGGCCUAACACAUGCAAGUCGAACGGCAGCACAGUAAGAGCUUGCUCUUACGGGUGGCGAGUGGCGGACGGGUGAGGAAUACAUCGGAAUCUACUUUUUCGUGGGGGAUAACGUAGGGAAACUUACGCUAAUACCGCAUACGACCUACGGGUGAAAGCAGGGGAUCUUCGGACCUUGCGCGUUUGAAUGGGCCGGCGGCGGAUUAGCUAGUUGGCGGGGUAUAGGCCCACCAAGGCGACGAUGCGUAGCUGGUCUGAGAGGGUGGCCGGCCACAUGGGGCAUGAGAUACGGCCCAGACUCCUACGGGAGGCAGCAGUGGGGAAUAUUGCACAAUGGGCGGAAGCCUGAUGCAGCAACGCCGCGUGCGGGAUGACGGCCUUCGGGUUGUAAACCGCUUUCGCCUGUGACGAAGCGUGAGUGACGGUAAUGGGUAAAGAAGCACCGGCUAACUACGUG
rnacentral:rRNA from 1 species